rnacentral:tRNA from 1 species
GCUUCAAUAGCACAGAGGUAGUGCAGCUCACUUGUAAUGAGCAGGUCGCAGGUUCGAAUCCUGCUUGAAGCU